AUGGAUGAGGAGUACUACAUGUUUCGCGACCAAGGAUCAGAUAAUGACACAAUUGAGGAUUUUGAUGAAACGAGGAUGUCGUCUGCUAUACCUAGCGAUGUUGAUCCAUUAGACUUUGUCUACACAAACAUCCUAGACACCACUCACGUCCUGAAACUAGAUGCAAACCGCAAACACUACAAAGCCAAAAAGUUUGUGUCUGAGACUGACAGGUUCUACUGUCGCAAUGGAUAG
rnacentral:rRNA from 1 species